CUGCUCAUUUGGGUAACACAGGUAAAAAAAUUAGACCAAGACAGAGAAGAUUAGCAUAUUCUUAAAGCAAGGAUGAUAUACAAAUUCAUUAAACAUUUCACAGUUUU
ensembl:snRNA U6 U6 spliceosomal RNA